AGUCGAGCGGACAGAUGGGAGCUUGCUCCCUGAUGUUAGCGGCGGACGGGUGAGUAACACGUGGGUAACCUGCCUGUAAGACUGGGAUAACUCCGGGAAACCGGGGCUAAUACCGGAUGCUUGUUUGAACCGCAUGGUUCAGACAUAAAAGGUGGCUUCGGCUACCACUUACAGAUGGACCCGCGGCGCAUUAGCUAGUUGGUGAGGUAACGGCUCACCAAGGCGACGAUGCGUAGCCGACCUGAGAGGGUGAUCGGCCACACUGGGACUGAGACACGGCCCAGACUCCUACGGGAGGCAGCAGUAGGGAAUCUUCCGCAAUGGACGAAAGUCUGACGGAGCAACGCCGCGUGAGUGAUGAAGGUUUUCGGAUCGUAAAGCUCUGUUGUUAGGGAAGAACAAGUGCCGUUCAAAUAGGGCGGCACCUUGACGGUACCUAACCAGAAAGCCACGGCUAACUACGUGCCAGCAGCCGCGGUAAUACGUAGGUGGCAAGCGUUGUCCGGAAUUAUUGGGCGUAAAGGGCUCGCAGGCGGUUUCUUAAGUCUGAUGUGAAAGCCCCCGGCUCAACCGGGGAGGGUCAUUGGAAACUGGGGAACUUGAGUGCAGAAGAGGAGAGUGGAAUUCCACGUGUAGCGGUGAAAUGCGUAGAGAUGUGGAGGAACACCAGUGGCGAAGGCGACUCUCUGGUCUGUAACUGACGCUGAGGAGCGAAAGCGUGGGGAGCGAACAGGAUUAGAUACCCUGGUAGUCCACGCCGUAAACGAUGAGUGCUAAGUGUUAGGGGGUUUCCGCCCCUUAGUGCUGCAGCUAACGCAUUAAGCACUCCGCCUGGGGAGUACGGUCGCAAGACUGAAACUCAAAGGAAUUGACGGGGGCCCGCACAAGCGG
rnacentral:rRNA from 1 species